rnacentral:rRNA from 1 species
GUACCAUAACCGACACAGGUGGGUAAGUAGAGUAUACUAAGGGGCGCGAGAUAACUCUCUCUAAGGAACUCGGCAAAAUAACUCCGUAACUUCGGGAGAAGGAGUGCCUUAUUCUUAAGGUUGCAAUAACAAGAUCCAAGCAACUGUUUAUCAAAAACACAGGUCUCCGCUAAGUCGUAAGACGAUGUAUGGGGGCUGACGCCUGCCCAGUGCCAGAAGGUUAAAGAAGUCGGUUAGCAAUAGCAAAGCUGGUAACUGAAGCCCUGGUGAACGGCGGCCGUAACUAUAACGGUCCUAAGGUAGCGAAAUUCCUUGUCGGGUAAGUUCCGACCCGCACGAAAGGCGUAAUGAUUUGGAUGCUGUCUCGGAGAGGGGCUCGGUGAAAUAGACUUGUCUGUGAAGAUGCGGACUACCUGCACCAGGACAGAAAGACCCUAUGAAGCUUUACUGUAACUUGAAAUUGAAAUUGGACUUUAUUCGCGCAGUAUAGGUGGGAGGCGUUGAUUAUAAUCUUGUGGGAUUAUUGGAGCCAUCAGUGAGAUACCACUCUUGUAAUGUUAGAUUUCUAACUUUGAAUCAUUAUCUGGUCAAAGGACAGUUUCAGGCGGGCAGUUUGACUGGGGCGGUCGCCUCCUAAACGGUAACGGAGGCGUACAAAGGUUUCCUCUGAACGGUAGAAAUCGUAUCUAGAGUGUAAAGGCAUAAGGAAGCUUGACUGUGAGACCUACAAGUCGAGCAGGGACGAAAGUCGGUCUUAGUGAUCUGACGGUACUGAGUGGAAAGGCCGUCACUCAACGGAUAAAAGUUACUCUAGGAUAACAGGCUGGUCUCCCCCAAGAGUUCACAUCGACGGGGAGGUUUGGCACCUCGAUGUCGGCUCAUCGCAUCCUGGGGCGGUAGUACGUCCCAAGGGUUGGGCUGUUCGCCCAUGAAAGCGGUACGCGAGCUGGGUUCAGAACGUCGUGAGACAGUUCGGUCCAUAUCCGGUGUAGGCGCUAGAAUAUUGAGAGGAGCCUUCUUUAGUACGAGAGGACCGAGAAGGACAUACCUCUGGUGUACCAGUUAUCGUGCCAACGGUAAACGCUGGGUAGCUAUGUAUGGAGUGGAUAACCGCUGAAAGCAUUUAAGUGGGAAGCCCACCUCAAGAUAAGUAUUCUCAUCACGUAAGUGAGUAAGGUCACGGUAAGACUAACCGUUUGAUAGGCAUUAAGUGUAAGUACAGUAAUGUAUGUGCUGAGAUGUCCUAAUAGACCGAGGACUUG